rnacentral:snRNA from 1 species
CCCCUUACCUGGCAGGGGAGACACCAUGAUCAUGAAGAUGGUUUCCCAGAGUGAAGCUCAUCCACUGCACUCCAGGUGUGCUCACCCCNGUGAUUUCCCCAAAUGCGGGAAACUUGAUUGCAUGAUCUGUAGCCUGCUCAGUAGCCUGUUC